AAACCUGAGAAACCCGAAAGAUCGAAUGGGGAGAUUCAUCGUCAGCGAUUCCGGUACGUGUGCGGCUCGCGAUGUCCGAGACUUCGGUCUCGCGGCACGCGUCCGCAUGUUUUUUAUUGCUGGAAUCGUCGGCGUGCACUUCUCCCCUAGUAGGACGUCGCGACCCGUUGGGUGUCGGUCUACGGCACGGUAGGUAGCCUGUCACGUGUGCGCCUCACGGCGUUACGCGGGGCAGACCUCCGUUCGCCCGACCGGCUGCUCGGCGGUACUCGCAAGGUAUCUGGCCGCAGACAUACGAACUGCGUCCGGCCCGUCGCAAGCGCGGCAAGUGUUUCCCGGCUGUACGGAUCUAAUGCCGUCACCGGGCCUUGCCAGCUGUUGGUUGACGGUGUCCUAGGACUGGCUAACAGAUACCGGUCGGCGACGCUACUGCUUUGGGUACUUUCAGGACCCGUCUUGAAACACGGACCAAGGAGUCUAACAUGUGCGCGAGUCAUUGGGAGCUAUUAAGCCUAAAGGCGCAAUGAAAGUGAAGAUCGGCCUCGCGCCGAUCGAGGGAGGAUGGGCCGCGUCACGAUGCGGUCCCGCACUCCCGGGGCGUCUCGUUCUCAU
rnacentral:rRNA from 1 species